CUGUCUUCUGGGGCUGCUAUAUUGCACCUAAGUAAGUCUUAUGAGGUCUCUCAGGUCACCACCUGCUCUAUGUGGCAAAAGAUAACAAAAAUUUGGAAAUCAAGGUGGCAGCAGGAGGAGUUACAAAUGUCACGUAGCAAGGACACAGAUUUGGCUCCUGGCUGGGCUGGUAACCUGGAUUUGCAAUGUGAGACAGGCUGUCGAAGCCUGAAUGCCCUGGCCUUUCAGUCCUGUGCCAAAGCUCCAUCUGGGCUGUGCUUUCCAGUCAAACUCCUCCCAUCCCCUUGAUGGUGGAUGUUGACUCCAUAUGGGUCUUCCCUGCAUUUUUCUGCAGUUUCACAGAAGAUGAGUAGAGAUGGUAUCCAAGAAAUCAUUCACCCAUGGUGACAAUUUGCCAGAAGCUGAUAGCAACCUUCUGGAAAAUCUGGAAUUUUAUACAAGAAGGACUCCUUACUUGGAGACACACACUUACUUCACCCAAAAUAUCCUCUUUAUGUUUAAUGGGAGCUAAAGGUUAUUCUUGUAGCUCCCGUCUCUCUAUUUUUGCCACACACCUCCCCAGCUGGACUGGUUUUGGUGUUGCAGUGAGCUGG